rnacentral:rRNA from 1 species
UACGUAGGGACCGAGCGUUGUCCGGAUUCAUUGGGCGUAAAGAGCUCGUAGGCGGCCACUCAAGUCGAAUGUGAAACCUCGAGGCUUAACCUCGAGCCUGCAUUCGAUACUGGGCGGCUAGAGUCUGGUAGGGGGAUCUGGAAUUCCUGGUGUAGCGGUGGAAUGCGCAGAUAUCAGGAGGAACACCGGUGGCGAAGGCGGCUACCUGGACAAUUGCUGACGCUCAGGCACGAAAGCGUGGGGAGCAAAAGGG